rnacentral:rRNA from 1 species
AUUGAACGCUGGCGGCAGGCCUAACACAUGCAAGUCGAGCGGAUGAAGGGAGCUUGCGCCUGGAUUCAGCGGCGGACGGGUGAGUAAUGCCUAGGAAUCUGCCUGGUAGUGGGUGAUAACGUCUGGAAAAGGGAGCUAAUAACGCAUAAGUCCUGAGGGAGAAAGUGGGGGAUCUUCGGACCUCACGCUAUCAGGUGAGCCUAGGUCGUAUUAGCUAGUUGGUGGGGUAAAGGCCUACCAAGUCGACGAUCCGUAACUGGUCUGAGAGGAUGAUCAGUCACACUGGAACUUAGACACGGUCCAGACGCCUACGGGAGGCAGCAGUGGGGAAUAUUGGACAAUGGUCGAAAGCCUGAUCCAGCCAUGCCGCGUGUGUGAAGAAGGUCUUCGGAUUGUAAAGCACUUUAAGUUGGGAGGAAGGGCAGUAAGUUAAUACCUUGCUGUUUUGACGUUACCAACAGAAUAAGCACCGGCUAACUUCGUG